rnacentral:tRNA from 1 species
UCCGCCUUGGUGUAAUGGCAGCACGACAGCCUUUGGAGCUGUGAGGUCCAGGUUCGAGUCCUGGAGGCGGAGCCAUCU